UUCGGUAAACGUUGACUUCAGGUUUGACACAGAGGAUCGACUCGUACUCAGACUGACCCUCGGUCGCCAUCUUGACUUUUACUUAGUCGGUGCACGCCGGUCGGUGGUGAUGGUGGUGACGACGAAGUAAAGGCGUGCGACGAAGAUCCUGAGGCGGAGGUUGGGCAAAUGCCUGAGGAACUGGGACAGUCUCAUGGAGCAGUUGGCACAGGGGGACCAAGAACAGAACCAUGUGAUGGAGUAGCUGAGCCUCUUCUCUCCAGCACCUCCAUACCCCCACAAACCAGGGCACAAGGCUUCAAGACUCUGGACAAGCAGCCUGCCCAAGCCCUCUCUGCGGUACCAGCAGCCUGUCACCAACCUGCAGAUCCUCCUGAUGUUUGGUCGAUUCUCGCCUUCCUGGAAGAUGCAGCCGACAAUCUCCCCGUCACAGUCUGCUACCCAGACCUGCCCUGCUGCCUGCUCCCUCUCAGGGGAGAUCUUCUCUGUUGACACAUCUUUGUCUUUGAGUCCGAUUCUGCGUCUUGGCUGAGGAAAAGAGAAAAUAGUUUUCACUUGCAACAGAAUGGUCACUAGAAUUAAGAUAGAAAGACUCAGAAUGGCUCACUAUAAAAUAGACUAACCUUUUUAGUCACUGGGGUCUUGCCACUUAUCCUACAGUAGGGAUUCUGCAGUGUCUCCUCCUGUGUCCCUCUGUAGCUGCUACCCACAUAGUCCCAGUAGGGGAGGCUGCUGCCCAGAACCCCUGUGGACCGGGGCAUGGUGAUUUUGAGAUAGAUAAUCAGCAGGAAGACAGGAAUAGCAAGUGCAAGGAUGAAAGAAUGGACAAGGCAUCGCAGGAUUGAGGAGGAAAACAGCCAGGAUGAAGAGACAGAGUGGACGAGUGAGGAUGUGGAGGAUGAGACGGUUUUCUGUGCCCUCGCAGCCCUCCUGAAGACAUGAUACAAGCAAAAAAAAAAGGAAAAACAUAUCAGUAUAAUCCUCACAAGGACAACAGCUGACUCUGAUGAGAGCAGGGUCUUCAUCUUGACCUAUAUAUAAUGUACAAACCUUGAUAAGGGCUUUGACCAUCUCUAUGUCGUCCUCCUUCAUUCUCCUCAUCACCACUUGAUCCAGCUCUAGCCUCACCAUGUUUAGGCUUUAUGUUCUCAUUCACUGUGUGGACAGCGAGCCUAAAAUACACAUUUAAAAGUACAUAGCCAGAAAGUUGACAUGUGACAGUACACUUCUAUGAGAUGCUUGACAAUCAGUCAUGCGCAGAACUGACUCUGUUGCAGACCGACAUAUUUCAGGUAAAUGGGUCAGUAUAUUUCCAAUGAUUAUAUUAUGCAAUGCAGUAGCAAACUGAGCCAGGAGUUGCAAUGUACCAUCACUCCCACGCUGACUCCAAACAACAAGACAAAUUUGGAUUAUGGAGGAUUUUUAGUACGCAUGUGUCACCGUUAUUGUUUACUUUGGUAACACAUGUCUUAUGGUUCAUUUGUACAUUUAACGGUGUUCGUUAUAGAUGCAAUGGGAAGCAAAAAGAUCUUGUUCAAACCCAUAUAUGGUUAUUGAGAAGUAGAGCGGUCUCUACAGACACAUCUAGACCCCCAUUGUCCCUGCUUAAACCCCUUCCACUGCCGCUCACGUUCUGUUUUAAUCGUUACGAAAAGGGAAAUUAAAACAAAUGCAAAGAAA